GAUUAACGCGAAGAACCUUACCCAAGACNUGACAUCCCUCUGACCGGUCUAGAGAUAGACCUUCUCUUCGGAGCAGAGGUGACAGGUGGUGCAUGGUGUCGUCAGCUCGUGUCGUGAGAUGUUGGGUUAAGUCCCGCAACGAGCGCAACCCCUAUCCUUAGUUGCUACCAUUAAGUUGAGGACUCUAAGGAGACUGCCGGUGACAAACCGGAGGAAGGUGGGGAUGACGUCAAAUCAUCAUGCCCCUUAUGUCUUGGGCUACACACGUGCUACAAUGGUCGGUACAAUGAGUCGCAAAGUCGCGAGGCCAAGCUAAUCUCAUAAAGCCGAUCUCAGUUGGAAGUCUGCAACUCGACUUCAUGAAGGGGGAUCGCUAGAAUCUUAAANCAGAGGCCGC
rnacentral:rRNA from 1 species